rnacentral:rRNA from 1 species
UACGUAGGGGGCAAGCGUUGUCCGGAAUCAUUGGGCGUAAAGAGCGUGUAGGCGGCCCGAUAAGUCCGCCGUGAAAGUCCAGGGCUCAACCCUGGAAUGCCGGUGGAAACUGUCGGGCUGGAGUCCGGAAGAGGCGAGUGGAAUUCCUGGUGUAGCGGUGAAAUGCGUAGAUAUCUGGAGGAAUACCGGUGGCGAAGGCGGCAUCCUGGACCGGCAUUGACGCUGAGGAGCGAAAGCGUGGGGAGCGAACAGG